rnacentral:rRNA from 1 species
AGUUUCCUACGGGGCGCAGCAGUGGGGAAUAUUGCACAAUGGGCGAAAGCCUGAUGCAGCAACGCCGCGUGAGCGAUGAAGGCCUUCGGGUCGUAAAGCUCUGUCCUCAAGGAAGACAAUGACGGUACUUGAGGAGGAAGCCCCGGCUAACUACGUGCCAGCAGCCGCGGUAAUACGUAGGGGGCUAGCGUUAUCCGGAAUUACUGGGCGUAAAGGGGGCGUAGGUGGGUUCUUACGUCAGAGGUGAAAGGCUACGGCUCAACCGUAGUAAGCCUUUGAAAAUGGGGAACUUGAGAGCAGGAGAG